AUUGAACGCUGGCGGAAUGCUUUACACAUGCAAGUCGAAUGGCAGCACGGACUUCGGUCUGGUGGCGAGUGGCAAACGGGUGAGUAAUGUGUCGGAACGUGCCCAGUCGUGGGGGAUAACGUAGUGAAAAUUACGCUAAUACCGCAUACGAUCUAUGGAUGAAAGCGGGGGAUCGCAAGACCUCGCGCGAUUGGAUCGGCCGAUAUCAGAUUAGGUAGUUGGUGGGGUAAAGGCCCACCAAGCCAACGAUCUGUAGCUGGUCUGAGAGGACGACCAGCCACACUGGAACUGAGGCACGGUCCAGACUCCUACGGGAGGCAGCAGUGGGGAAUUUUGGACAAUGGGCGAAAGCCUGAUCCAGCCAUUCCGCAUGCAGGAUGAAGGCCCUCGGGUUGUAAACUGCUUUUGUACAGAACGAAAAGGUUUCUACUAAUACUAGGAGCUCAUGACGGUACUGUAAGAAUAAGCACCGGCUAACUACGUGCCAGCCGCCGCAGUAA
rnacentral:rRNA from 1 species